rnacentral:rRNA from 1 species
GUACGACUACAUAUCAGGCAUAUCAAUAAGCGGAGGAAAAGAAACUAACAAGGAUUCCCUUAGUAACGGCGAGUGAAGCGGGUAGAGCUCAAAUUUGAAAUCUUCAAGGGUUUACCUUUACGAAUUGUAGUUUAAAGAAGUGUUUUCUGUUGGAGUUUCGGUAAAAGUUCUUUGGAAUAGGACAUCAUAGAGGGUGAGAAUCCCGUAUUUGACCAUUAUUUCAGCUGUGUGAUACACUUUCAAAGAGUCGGAUUGUUUGGGAAUGCAGUCCAAAAUGGGUGGUAAAUUUCAUCUAAAGCUAAAUAUUGGCGAGAGACCGAUAGCGAACAAGUACCGUGAGGGAAAGAUGAAAAGAACUUUGAAAAGAGAGUUAAACAGUACGUGAAAUUGUCAAAAGGGAAGCGUUUGACACCAGUGUUGUUUUCUCGAAAAUCAAUUAAAAAAAGUUGGAUUUUGUGUUGUAUUGACCUUAACAGCUUGCUUCACUCUUUUCCAGCUUUUUUUAAUGCACUUUUCGUUUAACAAGUCAACAUCAGUUUCUUUUGUUGUAAAAGGGUCAUUGGAAGGUGGCUUUCUCUUCGGAGAAAGUAUUUAUAGCCUUUGAUCUCUGCAAUCGGAGAGACUGAGGUCUGCAGCGUAGAUCCUUCGGGGUUAGAUACAUUUGUGCUAAGCUACAGCUUUUCAUAGACAACUUGUUGACUAUGUUUAGUCUUGUGACUUACCCGCUUAUGCUAUUUUACCUACGCUUAGGAUGUUGAGCGCAUGUCUCUCUCU